rnacentral:tRNA from 1 species
GGGGUUGUGGCUUAGUGGUAGAGCACUUGCCUAGCAUGUGCAAGGCCCUGAGUUCGAUUCUCAGCACCA